UACGGGGGGGGGCAAGCGUUGUUCGGAAUUACUGGGCGUAAAGGGCUCGUAGGUGGCCAACUAAGUCGGACGUGAAAUCCCUCGGCUUAACCGGGGAACUGCGUCUGAUACUGGAUGGCUUGAGUUCGGGAGAGGGGGGGCGGAAUUCCCAGUGUAGCGGUGAAAUGCGUAGAUAUUGGGAGGAACACCAGUGGCGAAGGCGGUCCCCUGGGCCGGUACUGACGCUGAGGAGCGAAAGCGUGGGGAGCAAACAGG
rnacentral:rRNA from 1 species